rnacentral:rRNA from 1 species
CUUCCGUAGGUGAACCUGCGGAGGGAUCAUUACUGAGUUUACGCUCUACAACCCUUUGUGAACAUACCUAUAACUGUUGCUUCGGCGGGUAGGGUCUCCGUGACCCUCCCGGCCUCCCGCCCCCGGGCGGGUCGGCGCCCGCCGGAGGAUAACCAAACUCUGAUUUAACGACGUUUCUUCUGAGUGGUACAAGCAAAUAAUCAAAACUUUUAACAACGGAUCUCUUGGUUCUGGCAUCGAUGAAGAACGCAGCGAAAUGCGAUAAGUAAUGUGAAUUGCAGAAUUCAGUGAAUCAUCGAAUCUUUGAACGCACAUUGCGCCCGCCAGCAUUCUGGCGGGCAUGCCUGUUCGAGCGUCAUUUCAACCCUCAAGCCCUGCUUGGUGUUGGGGCCCUACGGCUGACGUAGGCCCUCAAAGGUAGUGGCGGACCCUCCCGGAGCCUCCUUUGCGUAGUAACUUUACGUCUCGCACUGGGAUCCGGAGGGACUCUUGCCGUAAAACCCCCAAUUUCCAAAGGUGACCUCGAUCAGUAGAUGCAGGUCCCAAU